CCGCUGUCUUGGCCGCCGCGGCCGCCGCCGGAGCCGGAAAGUUGCGCGUAAACGUGUUGCUGCGUUGCCGGCCGCGGCGCGGAGCUGCCCAACUUCUCGGGCCCGAGUGCGCGGCGUUGCCCGGCGCGGCCCUGAGCGUUCGGCGCGGCGCCCGGGUGCGCGCGGCUCAGCCGAGCCCGGAGGGAGCCCCGCGGCCGGGGCUGGACCGUCCCCGCCGCUCGCGGCCCGGCGCCCGCCCCCGCCGACAGAGAGCUUGAAUGUAGCUGUCAUGUGAAUUAGAGAAAGAAGAUAAAAAUAACCUUUGGAUAUUCUUCUCAUGCAAUAUUUAUUCUGGAUGAAGAAUCCAGGUUGCUAGCAGAGGUGUAUCCCUAUUCCGUGUACGCCAGGCAAUGGCCAUAAUAGCCCUCA